rnacentral:rRNA from 1 species
CCCUUAGAUGUCCUGGGCCGCACGCGCGCUACACUGAACAGUUCAACAAGUCUUAACCUUGGCCGAUAGGUCUGGGUAAUCUUUGAACGCUGUUCGUGAUUGGGAUAGACCUUUGCAAUUAUGGGUCUUCAACGAGGAAUUCCUAGUAAACGCAAGUCAUCAGCUUGCAUUGAUUACGUCCCUGCCCUUUGUACACACCGCCCGUCGCACCUACCGAUUGAAUGGUCCGGUGAAAUCUCGGGACGGCGGCUUGGUCGCUUGCGUCCGACUGCUGAAACUUGAUUAAACCAUAUCAUUUAGAGGAAGGUGAANUCGUANCA